GUCUAUUCGUUGCCUCUUUCGAUAACCCCUCCCUUUUCUUAUUAGCUUAAUAUGUGAUACGGAUUUAUUUGUAUCCAAGAUAAUAAUGAUGUUUUUGGAAUGCGGCGCAGUGCUUGAAGCUUGCUUCAACUCCACCACGGGUCGGCCCGGUAUUGCAUUAUCUCCGUGAUCAGCCCACUCACC